rnacentral:misc_RNA from 1 species
GAUGAAGAACGUAGCGAAAUGCGAUAAGUAAUGUGAAUUGCAGAAUUCAGUGAAUCAUCGAAUCUUUGAACGCACAUUGCGCCCUUUGGUAUUCCGAAGGGCAUGCCUGUUCGAGCGUCAUUUCACCACUCAAGCCUGGCUUGGUAUUGGGCGCCGCGGUCGAUCCGCGCGCCUCAAAGUCUCCGGCUGAGCUGUCCGUCUCUAAGCGUUGUGAUUUCAUUAAUCGCUUCGGAGUGCGGGCGGCCGCGGCCGUUAAAUCUUUCACAAGGUUGACCUCGGAUCAGGUAGGGAUACCCGAUGAACUUAAGCAUAUCAAUAAGCGGAGGA